UGUCUCUGCAUUUCUCCUAAAACGUUGUGUCCACUUCAUAAAAAGCCAAAAGUUCAUUUUAUUUCUUUGCACCAUUAUUAUUAAUUUAAAUAAAUUGGCAUAUCAAUGAAGUCCAGCAGGUUUGGCAUUUGGUUUUCGAUUUGGUUUUGCAUCAUACGUUUAUUGUAAUUAGUUCUUUGAUGAUGCAGGAACAAAUAAAGUUAUGCAUUUGCAAGAAUGAAGCAGAUCCAUUUUUUAGAGGAAUUUUGACUGGAUUACACAAAGGAAAUUAGAUCGAGAAAAAGGAAAAAGAUUUUUGCUCAAGCUGUCGUUGGUUGCAUUCGAGCGAAUCAAGCAGAUUGGACUGAUUGUCAACUGACAUAAGAAAGAUACAACAUAUUCCGAACUUGUUUUCUUCUCAAAAAGUAGCUGGAUAUUACUUCAUGAAGAUCAGAUACAUAUGUAUUGGUUGUGAAAUAUUUUGAGUAUAACUAGAUUGACCCCUUUGAGUGUUUGGGGGCAUAAAAAAAAAGUGAUUGUGAAAUUGUUAUUGCUACUGGGCUACUGGCAUAGUUUUUGUUUUUUGGUAAU